AAUAAGUUAAUUUAAUGGUAGAAUGUUGUGCUAUGGUCACUCCUAUAAAGGUUCAGAUCCUUUACUUAUUU